rnacentral:rRNA from 1 species
GACGAACGCUGGCGGCGUGCUUAACACAUGCAAGUCGAACGGAAAGGCCCUGCUUUUGUGGGGUGCUCGAGUGGCGAACGGGUGAGUAACACGUGAGUAACCUGCCCUUGACUUUGGGAUAACUUCAGGAAACUGGGGCUAAUACCGGAUAGGAGCUCCUGCUGCAUGGUGGGGGUUGGAAAGUUUUGGCGGUUGGGGAUGGACUCGCGGCUUAUCAGCUUGUUGGUGGGGUAGUGGCUUACCAAGGCUUUGACGGGUAGCCGGCCUGAGAGGGUGACCGGCCACAUUGGGACUGAGAUACGGCCCAGACUCCUACGGGAGGCAGCAGUGGGGAAUAUUGCACAAUGGGCGGAAGCCUGAUGCAGCAACGCCGCGUGCGGGAUGAAGGCCUUCGGGUUGUAAACCGCUUUCGCCUGUGACGAAGCGUGAGUGACGGUAAUGGGUAAAGAAGCACCGGCUAACUACGUG